rnacentral:rRNA from 1 species
GACGAACGCUGGCGGCGUGCUUAACACAUGCAAGUCGAACGGUAAGGCCCUUUUGGGGGUACACGAGUGGCGAACGGGUGAGUAACACGUGGGUGAUCUGCCCUGCACUUUGGGAUAAGCCUGGGAAACUGGGUCUAAUACCGAAUAUUCCUUGCUGGUCGCAGUGCCUGGUGGGGGAAAGCUUUUGAGGUGUGGGAUGGGCCCGCGGCCUAUCAGCUUGUUGGUGGGGUGAUGGCCUACCAAGGCGACGCCGGGUAGCCGGCCUGAGAGGGUGUCCGGCCACACUGGGACUGAGAUACGGCCCAGACUCCUACGGGAGGCAGCAGUGGGGAAUAUUGCACAAUGGGCGCAAGCCUGAUGCAGCGACGCCGCGUGAGGGAUGACGGCCUUCGGGUUGUAAACCUCUUUCAAUAGGGACGAAGCGUGAGUGACGGUACCUAGAGAAGAAGCACCGGCCAACUACGUGCCAGCAGCCGCCGUAAAAC